rnacentral:snRNA from 1 species
UCGCUAAGAUUCGACCCU